rnacentral:rRNA from 1 species
AACGAACGCUGGCGGCAGGCUUAACACAUGCAAGUCGAGCGCAUCCUUCGGGGUGAGCGGCGGACGGGUGAGUAACGCGUGGGAACGUGCCCUCUUCUACGGAAUAGCCUCGGGAAACUGAGAGUAAUGCCGUAUACGCCCGCAAGGGGAAAGAUUUAUCGGAGGAGGAUCGGCCCGCGUUGGAUUAGGUAGUUGGUGGGGUAACGGCCUACCAAGCCGACGAUCCAUAGCUGGUUUGAGAGGAUGAUCAGCCACACUGGGACUGAGACACGGCCCAGACUCCUACGGGAGGCAGCAGUGGGGAAUCUUGGACAAUGGGGGCAACCCUGAUCCAGCCAUGCCGCGUGAUCGAUGAAGGCCUUAGGGUUGUAAAGAUCUUUCAGCUGGGAAGAUAAUGACGGUACCAGCAGAAGAAGCCCCGGCGAACUCCGU